UACGGAGGGUGCAAGUGUUAUUCGGAAUCACUGGGCGUAAAGAGCACGUAGGCGGAUGGGUAAGUCAGAUGUGGAAUCCCGGGGCUUAACUUCGGAACUGCAUUUGAUACUGUCCGUCUUGAGUGUGGUAGAGGGGGAUGGAAUUCCCGGUGUAGAGGUGAAAUUCGUAGAUAUCGGGAGGAACACCAGAGGCGAAGGCGAUCCCCUGGGCCAUUACUGACGCUGAGGUGCGAAAGCGUGGGGAG
rnacentral:rRNA from 1 species